GUAGUCCACGCCGUAAACGAUGAGAACUAGCCGUUGGUCUCCUUGAGAGGUUAGUGGCGCAGCUAACGCGAUAAGUUCUCCGCCUGGGGAGUACGGCCGCAAGGUUAAAACUCAAAUGAAUUGACGGGGGCCCGCACAAGCGGUGGAGCAUGUGGUUUAAUUCGACGCAACGCGAAGAACCUUACCUGGUCUUGACAUCCACGGAAUCCUGCAGAGAUGUGGGAGUGCCUUCGGGAACCGUGAGACAGGUGCUGCAUGGCUGUCGUCAGCUCGUGUUGUGAAAUGUUGGGUUAAGUCCCGUAACGAGCGCAACCCUUGUCCUUAGUUGCCAGCGAGUAAUGUCGGGAACUCUAAGGAGACUGCCGGUGACAAACCGGA
rnacentral:rRNA from 1 species